UUUCUGAAGGAAAUGUUGCCACAGCCGCAGCAGCUGCUCUGGCCUCAGCUGCUACCAAAGCCAAGCACACCAGCACCCGGGAGGACCGGGGCUGGCCCCACUUGGGGCAGCAGGCCACCCAGGCAUGAUGCCUCAUCAGCAGCCCCCUCCAUACCCCAUGAUGCACCAUCAGAUGCCACCACCCCAUCCUCCCCAACCAGGUCAAAUACCAGGCCCUGGCUCCAUGAUGCCUGGGCAACCUAUGCCAGGUCGCAUGAUUCCCACCGUGGCAGCCAACAUUCACCCUACUGGGAGUGGCCCUACCCCUCCCGGUAUGCCUCCAAUGCCCGGAAACAUCUUAGGACCCCGGGUACCCCUCACAGCACCAAACGGCAUGUGUAAGUAGCCCAGCGGGAAGACAUGCCCCAGCAUCCUGCUAUGGAAGCUACAGACAAGGAAGAAAGGCUUUCUUCUCUUCAUGAGAUGUAGCAAGUCCAUAGACAGUCUAGCCUGCAACAUUUAGUUGUGGGAGAUAACAUUUUGGUUUGAAACUCAGGUUAUAUACUCAGUACUGAGGUCUGUGGAUGAGCCACUGAUUUCUUUGUCACUCGUGAUUAAACCUGACUAGUUUGAAUAUC
rnacentral:lncRNA from 1 species